rnacentral:rRNA from 1 species
UAAUUCAAGCCCACCCAAAUAUCAAAUCAAAUAUCACAGACACUUAAUCUAAAUCAUUUUACCCGUCUAAGUAUAGGCGAUAGAAAAGACUUAUCUAGGCGCAAUAACGCAAGUACCGUAAGGGAAACAUGAAAGACCAAUUCCAAGCACUAAAAAGCAAAGAUUAGACCUUCUACCUUUUGCAUAAUGGUUUAGCCAGUCAAAUCGGACAAAAAGAAUUAUGCCCGCCUUCCCGAAAUCAAGUGAGCUACUAUAAAACAGUCAACAGAACCAACUCGUCUAUGUAGCAAAAUAGUGAGAAGAUUUUAUAGUAGAGGUGAAAAGCCUACCGAACUUGAUGAUAGCUGGUUGUCCAAAAUACGAAUUUUAGUUCAACUUUAAAUUUAAUUAAAUUAUCAAUAGACUUAACUUAAAUUUAAAAGCUAAUCAAAAGGGGGUCAGCUCUUUUGAUCAUGUAAACAAACUUUAUUAGAGGAUAAUGAAUACUAAAAACCAUUGUAGGCCUAAAAGCAGCCACCAAUUAAGAAAGCGUUAAAGCUCAAAUACACCAGUAAACCUUAAUCCCAAAAAUAACAUCAAACUCCCUAACAUAAACUAUUGGACGAUUCUAUAAUUUUAUAGAAGACAUAAUGCUAAAAUGAGUAACAAGAAUUAUUUCUCCUAGCACAAGCCUAAAUUAGCAACGGAACACCCACUAACAAUUAACAAACUAAUAAUCUUAACCAAAUAACUAGCAAAAUUUUUACAACCAUUGUUAACCCAACACAGGAGUGCUAACAGGAAAGAUUAAAAGGAAUAAAAGGAACUCGGCAAA